GAUGAACGCUAGCGGCAGGCUUAACACAUGCAAGUCGAGGGGUAUAGAAAGCUUGCUUUCUAGAGACCGGCAAACGGGUGCGGAACACGUACACAACCUACCUUUAUCAGGGGGAUAGCCUUCGGAAACGGAGAUUAAUACCCCAUAGUAUUAUGGAGUGGCAUCAUUUAUAAUUAAAGAAUUUCGGAUAGAGAUGGGUGUGCGUAAGAUUAGCUAGUUGGUGAGGUAAAGGCUCACCAAGGCAACGAUCUUUAGCUGAUGUGAGAGCAUGAUCAGCCACACGGGCACUGAGACACGGGCCCGACUCCUACGGGAGGCAGCAGUGAGGAAUAUUGGUCAAUGGACGGAAGUCUGAACCAGCCAUGCCGCGUGAAGGAUGAAGGCGUUCUGCGUUGUAAACUUCUUUUAUUUAGGAAGAAACCACUUUUUUUUAAGAGUGUUGACGGUAUUAAAUGAAUAAGCACCGGCUAACUCCGUGCCAGCAGCCGCCGUAAAAC
rnacentral:rRNA from 1 species